CCUUUAUAUAUUCCAUCUUUCUGAGGCAGAGGGACAUUAUUCUUGGUUUUAUAAUUUUUAAUUUAAUAUCUCUGGAUAUUUUUCAUAAUUAGUUUGCGUAAUGCAGUUAACAACUUUAAGCUUAUACAUUAACUUUCGUUAUAACUUAGUUAUUAAUAAUUUGAUUUAUAGAUUUUUAUAACAAUACAAGAUUGAAUUUAGCAGAAGGCUAAACUUCUGCUCUGGAGACAAAAAAAGGAAGAUAGCGAAAAUAACCAGCCAAAAUAAAGAUUAAAGAGACAAAAAAUUGUGUAUAUCUUGGUGUAGAUGAUUUAUCCUCAAUUUCUUAUAAUAAAACUAAAAAUAUUAUUAAACUUUAGGAUUUACCUGUAACUACAAACUUUUUACAGAAGUUCAAUGUUUGCUCUGAGAAGUUAAAUGAACAAAAUUUAUUAAAUGAUAAAGUUGUAUCCUUGAAAGAUAUGCUGGUAUUAUUGGCACAAUGGGCAAGCAUUGAAGUGCAACUUGGUGAACUACUAAAUACAUCAAAUUCAGUUAUAAAAAUUUGAGUAUCAAAGGUAUGCUAAUUAUUGUAUUGCCUGAAAGAGUGUCAUUGCCAUUAAAAGCAGUGAAGAAUUCAAGUACUCUGGAAGAAAAAAGACAAGAAAACACUUCAGUUAAUGGCUGUGUAUUUUUGCGAGUUAAUUAUUUGGCACAAAUUGGAGUUAAAGGCGAAGGAGAUUGUAUGUGUUAUUUACUAGGAAUAGUUUAUUAAAAUGGCCUAGCUGUAAAAUUAAAUUAUGCAGGGAGAGGAUAAAAAAUUGGAAUAGGAAAAAUGUUGAUUGCAUAUGCUGCUUUUGAAACUUUGAAGUCAAUUAAGCAUGGUUUAUGCAGACAUGUGAUAGAGAUAGCGGAAGAAAAAUAAUAAUCGUGGGCACCAAAUAUCAUAAGCUAAACACGAUUCAAUAACAAGUAGCUCAGUCAAUAUCGAAACUACUCUAUAAAUUUUAUAGUGAAUUUUUUUAUUUAAAACUCCAUGUGUCAGUUUUUGGUAUUAGUUUCGUGUUUGCAAUAUGUAUAUUUAACCGAGAAAUUAUGUUUAAUAAAUAAAUAUUUAUACUUGUAUAA